rnacentral:rRNA from 1 species
AUACGGAGGGUGCGAGCGUUGUUCGGAAUUAUUGGGCGUAAAGCGCGUGUAGGCGGCGUGGUAAGUCGGGCGUGAAAUCCCGGGGCUCAACCCCGGAACUGCACUCGAAACUGCCUGGCUAGAGUCCCGGAGAGGAAGGCGGAAUUCCCGGUGUAGAGGUGAAAUUCGUAGAUAUCGGGAGGAACACCAGUGGCGAAGGCGGCUUUCUGGACGGUGACUGACGCUGAGACGCGAAAGCGUGGGGAGCAAACAGAAGUAGAAACCCCUGUAGUCC